rnacentral:rRNA from 1 species
AGGGUUUGAUCAUGGCUCAGAACGAACGCUGGCGGCAGGCUUCAUACAUGCAAGUCGAACGGGUGUAGCAAUACACCAGUGGCGAACGGGUGAGUAACAGGUGGAUAAUCUGCCCCUCGGUGGGGGAUAACGGCUGGAAACGGCCGCUAAUACCGCAUACGAUUGUCGGGUCCUUGGACUUGGCAAGGAAAGGCGCUGAAAGGCGUCGCCGGAGGAUGAGUCCGCCCCCCAUUAGCUAGUUGGCGGGAUAAUAGCCCACCAAGGCAACGAUGGGUAGCCGAGCUGAGAGGUUGAUCGGCCACACUGGGACUGAGACACGGCCCAGACACCUACGGGUGGCAGCAGUAGGGAAUCUUGGACAAUGGGCGAAAGCCUGAUCCAGCCAUGCCGCGUGAGUGAUGAAGGUCUUCGGACUGUAAAACUCUUUUCUGAGGGAAGAACAGGCGGGGUAGGAAAUGACCCCGUUUUGACGGUACCUCAGGAAUAAGCAACGGCUAACUCCGUGCCAGCAGCCGCGGUAAUACGGAGGUUGCAAGCGUUGUUCGGAAUGACUGGGCGUAAAGGGAGCGCAGCCGGCUCGAUUAGUCUGGAGUGAAAGCCCGGGGCUCAACCCCGGAGGGUCUUCGGAUACUGUCGAGCUCGAGUACGGAAGAGGAGAGUGGAAUUCCAGGUGUAGCGGUGAAAUGCGUAGAUAUCUGGAGGAACACCGGUGGCGAAAGCGGCUCUCUGGUCCGAUACUGACGGUCAGGCUCGAAAGCGUGGGGAGCAAACGGGAUUAGAUACCCCGGUAGUCCACGCCGUAAAC